ensembl:snRNA U6atac minor spliceosomal RNA
GUGUUGUAUGAAAGGAGAGAAGGUUAGCUCUCCUCUUGACAAGGAUGGAAGUGGCCCUUGGACCUGACAGCAUGCACAUGGUUAAGACAUUGGGUUGUUAAGGCAAAAUAAGGCCAAAGUAAAGG